AGUGAACGCUGGCGGUAGGCCUAACACAUGCAAGUCGAACGGCAGCACAGGAGAGCUUGCUCUCUGGGUGGCGAGCGGCGGACGGGUGAGGAAUACAUCGGAAUCUACUUUUUCGUGGGGGAUAACGUAGGGAAACUUACGCUAAUACCGCAUACGACCUACGGGUGAAAGCAGGGGACCUUCGGGCCUUGCGCGAUUGAAUGAGCCGAUGUCGGAUUAGCUAGUUGGCGGGGUAAAGGCCCACCAAGGCGACGAUCCGUAGCUGGUCUGAGAGGAUGAUCAGCCACACUGGAACUGAGACACGGUCCAGACUCCUACGGGAGGCAGCAGUGGGGAAUAUUGGACAAUGGGCGCAAGCCUGAUUCAGCCAUACCGCGUGGGUGAAGAAGGCCUUCGGGUUGUAAAGCCCUUUUGUUGGGAAAGAAAUCCAGCCGGCUAAUACCUGGUUGGGAUGACGGUACCCAAAGAAUAAGCACCGGCUAACUUCGUGCCAGCCGCCGCAGUAA
rnacentral:rRNA from 1 species